GUGGGGAAUUUUGGACAAUGGGCGAAAGCCUGAUCCAGCCAUGCCGCGUGUGUGAAGAAGGUCUUCGGAUUGUAAAGCACUUUAAGUUGGGAGGAAGGGCAGUAAGUUAAUACCUUGCUGUUUUGACGUUACCGACAGAAUAAGCACCGGCUAACUUCGUGCCAGCAGCCGCGGUAAUACGAAGGGUGCAAGCGUUAAUCGGAAUUACUGGGCGUAAAGCGCGCGUAGGUGGUUUUGUAAGUUGGAGGUGAAAUCCCCGGGCUCAACCUGGGAACUGCCUACAAAACUGAAUGACUAGAGUACGGUAGAGGGUAGUGGAAUUUCCUGUGUAGCGGUGAAAUGCGUAGAUAUAGGAAGGAACACCAGUGGCGAAGGCGACUACCUGGACUGAUACUGACACUGAGGUGCGAAAGCGUGGGGAGCAAACAGGAUUAGAAACCCGAGUAGUCC
rnacentral:rRNA from 1 species